GAUGAACGCUGGCGGCGUGCCUAACACAUGCAAGUCGAGCGAAGCGGGGACGGGUGAGUAAAACGUGGAUAACCUCCUAUAAGACUGGGAUAACUUCGUGAAAACGGAGCUAAACCGGCAUCUUUUCGAUGGAUGCGGGUUGCAUUAGCUAGUUGGUAAGGUAACGGCUCACCAAGGCAACGAUGCAUAGCCGACCUGAGAGGGUGAUCAGCCACACUGGAACUGAGACACGGUCCAGACUCCUACGGGAGGCAGCAGUAGGGAAUCUUGCGCAAUGGGCGAAAGCCUGACGGAGCAACGCCGCGUGAGUGAUGAAGGUCUUCGGAUCGUAAAACUCUUUUAUUAGGGAAGCGGUACCUAAUCAGAAAGCCACGGCUAACUACGUGCCAGCAGCCGCGGUAAUUC
rnacentral:rRNA from 1 species